GAAAACAGGCGUGGAUAAUAGCAUGUCAAUACCAGGAGAAAAAAAGCCUAUUACAUUAAUUGAGGGAAACGAGAAGAAGUCAGGCAUCCCUAUUCCCUGAGACACAACAAAAUUGAAAUUAAGCCAAUUAAUAAACCUACAAUGGCCUCUAAGUGUUCCAAGUAAAAGGAAGAGUCAAUCGAUGUGGCAAACUUCAUUACUGUCUUGUUUUAAGAAAUUGCCACAGACACCCUAACCUUCAGCAACCACCACCCGAUCAGUCAGCAGCCAUCACCACUGAGGCAAGAUCUUCCACUAGCAGAGAUCUGAAGGUGGAGAUAAUGCAACAGUCUUCGCCAUGCCUCACCUUACCAUUCUCCAGAAAUAGGAAAUGUAACUACUCCCAUCAGUCUCUAUGGGGACCAGGACUCCAUCUAUCCUUGUCCCUAUUAUAGGAAGAAUUUGUAGAAAAGCUAAGGAUCCUUGCCCUCACUGAAAAAAUCCAGUAAUAUUCCACCUGAAGAAAGUACAAUAACUACAGUCUAGUCAGUGGCGUAAAGAGGAAAAGAGAUGACAGCUUUCCACUGAAGAGUGUGUCCAAGACACUGGGAGAUCUAACCAGAAGAGAUACCAUGCCUUGAGAAAAACAUAGUGACCAAGGAUCCUGCUUGGCUCAGGUGGCAGCUGUGGUGCUUGAUGAAGAGUUAUAAAAGCUAACAAUUGCCAGGCUCACCUCAGCUUAGCAGCAGAUUGGCUUGUUUAGCAGAGACACCGAAAGCUAGAAGAAUGAGUAAACCUAGUUGAGUUGCCAGGUUGGUACAGACACUGUGCUCUGCAAAGAACUAUCUAGGCUGACAGCAAUGGGACUAUUAUUUGUUGGUAACCUCUGAAAAGCAAAAGUGACAUGGGCACUGUACCCCCAGAAACCCAGGCAAACUAUUAUCAGGGAAACUCCAUUGCCCUUGCAUCCUUGUGACUCUUAACCUAGAAACACCCAAUGACCCCACCCAGGGUCCUGAGAUGUUUAUCCUCUUUUGUCCUCUAGAUUUAAGGUGGACAAGGAAAUGAAUCUUUAUGCCUCCAGGCAGACCCCAGUCAGAUGACCACCUCACCCCACCAAAUGCCUGAGGGACUAACACUCACUCUGGUCUUGUCCACACCAGGACCUAGCAUUUAAAGUGGAUAUAAACCCCAGAACUGAUGUAGUCU
rnacentral:lncRNA from 1 species